GACGUAGGGCGCAAGCGUUGUCCGGAUUUAUUGGGCGUAAAGAGCUCGUAGGCGGCUUGUUGCGUCGUCCGUGAAAACCCGCAGCUCAACUGCGGGCUUGCGGACGAUACGGGCAGGCUGGAGUUCGGUAGGGGAGACUGGAAUUCCUGGUGUAGAGGUGAAAUUCGUAGAUAUCAGGAGGAACACCAGUGGCGAAGGCGGCUUCCUGGACACCAACUGACGCUGAGACGCGAAAGCGUGGGGAGCAAACAGG
rnacentral:rRNA from 1 species